GACGAACGCUGGCGGCGUGCUUAACACAUGCAAGUCGAACGGAAAGGCCCUGCUUUUGUGGGGUGCUCGAGUGGCGAACGGGUGAGUAACACGUGAGUAACCUGCCCUUGACUUUGGGAUAACUUCAGGAAACUGGGGCUAAUACCGGAUAGGAGCUCCUGCUGCAUGGUGGGGGUUGGAAAGUUUCGGCGGUUGGGGAUGGACUCGCGGCUUAUCAGCUUGUUGGUGGGGUAGUGGCUUACCAAGGCUUUGACGGGUAGCCGGCCUGAGAGGGUGACCGGCCACAUUGGGACUGAGAUACGGCCCAGACUCCUACGGGAGGCAGCAGUGGGGAAUAUUGCACAAUGGGCGGAAGCCUGAUGCAGCAACGCCGCGUGCGGGAUGACGGCCUUCGGGUUGUAAACCGCUUUCGCCUGUGACGAAGCGUGAGUGACGGUAAUGGGUAAAGAAGCACCGGCUAACUACGUGCCAGCAGCCGCGGUGAUACGUAGGGUGCGAGCGUUGUCCGGAUUUAUUGGGCGUAAAGGGCUCGUAGGUGGUUGAUCGCGUCGGAAGUGUAAUCUUGGGGCUUAACCCUGAGCGUGCUUUCGAUACGGGUUGACUUGAGGAAGGUAGGGGAGAAUGGAAUUCCUGGUGGAGCGGUGGAAUGCGCAGAUAUCAGGAGGAACACCAGUGGCGAAGGCGGUUCUCUGGGCCUUUCCUGACGCUGAGGAGCGAAAGCGUGGGGAGCGAACAGGCUUAGAUACCCUGGUAGUCCACGCUGUAAACGGUGGGUACUAGGUGUGGGGUCCGUUCCACGGGUUCCGUGCCGUAGCUAACGCUUUAAGUACCCCGCCUGGGGAGUACGGCCGCAAGGCUAAAACUCAAAGGAAUUGACGGGGCCCCGCACAAGCGGCGGAGCAUGCGGAUUAAUUCGAUGCAACGCGUAGAACCUUACCUGGGUUUGACAUGGAUCGGGAGUGCUCAGAGAUGGGUGUGCCUCUUUUGGGGUCGGUUCACAGGUGGUGCAUGCCUGUCGUCAGCUCGUGUCGUGAGAUGUUGGGUUAAGUCCCGCAACGAGCGCAACCCUUGUUCACUGUUGCCAGCACGUUAUGGUGGGGACUCAGUGGAGACCGCCGGGGUCAACUCGGAGGAAGGUGGGGAUGACGUCAAGUCCUCAUGCCCCUUAUGUCCAGGGCUUCACGCAUGCUACAAUGGCUGGUACAGAGAGUGGCGAGCCUGUGAGGGUGAGCGAAUCUCGGAAAGCCGGUCUCAGUUCGGAUUGGGGUCUGCAACUCGACCUCAUGAAGUCGGAGUCGCUAGUAAUCGCAGAUCAGCAACGCUGCGGUGAAUACGUUCCCGGGGCU
rnacentral:rRNA from 1 species